rnacentral:rRNA from 1 species
CAGCACCUCAAGUGGUCAGGAUGAUUAUUGGGCCUAAAGCAUCCGUAGCCGGCGCUGUAAGUUUUCGGUUAAAUCUGUACGCUCAACGUACAGGCUGCCGGGAAUACUGCAGCGCUAGGGAGUGGGGGAGGUAGACGGUACUCGGUAGGAAGGGGUAAAAUCCUUUGAUCUAUUGAUGACCACCUGUGGCGAAGGCGGUCUACCAGAACACGUCCGACGGUGAGGGAUGAAAGCUGGGGGAGCAAGCCGGAUUAGAUACCCGAGUAGUCC